GCUCUAAGGAAAACCACAGCACGUGUUCUUUUUCACUAGUAGAAGUGACGUUGGUUUCAUAUUGACAACUUUGAAGCCAUUUGGAAGUGUUUCAGUGGAGAGCAAAAUGAAUAACAAAGCGGGCUCCUUUUUCUGGAACCUUAGACAAUUCAGUACAUUAGUUUCAACAAGCAGAACUAUGAGGCUAUGUUGUUUGGGACUUUGCAAACCAAAAAUAGUUCAUUCAAACUGGAACAUUUUAAAUAACUUUCAUAACAGAAUGCAAUCAACUGAUAUCAUUAGAUAUCUCUUUCAGGAUGCAUUCAUUUUUAAAUCAGAUGUUGGCUUUCAAACAAAGGGCAUAAGCACUCUAACAGCCCUUAGAAUUGAAAGACUACUUUAUGCUAAAAGACUGUUUUUUGACUCAAAGCAGUCUCUUGUCCCUGUUGAUAAAUCUGAUGAUGAAUUGAAGAAAGUAAACCUUAAUCAUGAAGUCUCCAAUGAAGAUGUUCUUACCAAGGAAACAAAACCAAACCGUAUCAGCAGUAGAAAACUGUCUGAGGAAUGUAAUUCCCUGAGUGAUGUGUUAGAUGCAUUUUCAAAAGCGCCAACAUUUCCUAGUAGCAACUAUUUCACAGCAAUGUGGACAAUUGCCAAAAGACUGUCUGAUGACCAGAAGCGCUUUGAAAAACGACUGAUGUUUAGCCACCCUGCAUUUAAUCAGCUCUGUGAACAUAUGAUGAGAGAAGCCAAGAUCAUGCAGUAUAAGUACCUACUGUUCAGUCUUCACGCCAUAGUGAAGCUUGGAAUCCCUCAGAACACUAUUUUGGUGCAGACUUUGCUGAGGGUGACCCAGGAACGUAUCAAUGAGUGUGAUGAGAUAUGCCUUUCAGUUUUGUCAACUGUUUUAGAGGCAAUGGAACCAUGCAAGAAUGUUCAUGUUCUACGAACGGGAUUCAGAAUACUAGUUGAUCAGCAAGUUUGGAAAAUAGAAGAUGUCUUCACAUUACAAGUUGUGAUGAAGUAUAUUGGAAAAGAUGCACCGAUUGCUCUUAAGAGGAAACUGGAGAUGAAAGCCUUGAGGGAAUUAGACAGAUUUUCUGUUUUGAAUAGCCAGCACAUGUUUGAAGUACUAGCUGCCAUGAAUCACCGAUCUCUUAUACUCCUGGAUGAAUGCAGUAAGGUGGUCCUAGAUAAUAUCCAUGGGUGUCCUUUAAGAAUAAUGAUCAACAUAUUGCAGUCCUGCAAAGACCUCCAAUACCAUAAUUUGGAUCUCUUCAAGGGACUUGCAGAUUAUGUGGCUGCAACUUUCGACAUCUGGAAGUUCAGAAAAGUUCUUUUUAUCCUCAUUUUAUUUGAAAACCUUGGCUUUCGACCUGUUGGUUUAAUGGACCUGUUUAUGAAGAGAAUAGUAGAGGAUCCUGAAUCCCUAAACAUGAAAAACAUUCUAUCUAUUCUUCAUACUUACUCUUCUCUCAAUCAUGUCUACAAAUGCCAGAACAAAGAACAGUUCGUGGAAGUUAUGGCUAGUGCUCUGACUGGUUAUCUUCACACUAUUUCUUCUGAAAACUUAUUGGAUGCAGUAUAUUCAUUUUGCUUGAUGAAUUACUUUCCCCUGGCUCCUUUUAAUCAGCUUCUGCAAAAAGACAUCAUCAGUGAGCUGCUGACAUCAGAUGACAUGAAGAAUGCUUACAAGCUGCAUACUUUGGAUACUUGUCUAAAACUUGAUGAUACUGUCUUUCUGAAGGACAUAGCCUUGUCACUCCCACAGCUGCCGCGGGAGCUGCCAUCGUCACAUACAAAUGCAAAGGUGGCAGAGGUGCUGAGCAGGCUUCUGGGAGGUGAAGGACACUUCUCAAAGGAUGUGCAUUUGCCACACAAUUAUCAUAUUGAUUUUGAAAUCAGAAUGGACACUAACAGGAAUCAAGUGCUACCACUUUCUGAUGUGGAUACAACUUCUGCUACAGAUAUUCAAAGGUUGCUUACAUAUAUUUCACUUGCUGGGCUUUCUGAAUUAAAAUCCUAAUUGUAAAAGACUUCAUAUUAAAUAGCAGUAGUAAAUCUAAGACUUGAUGUUUGUAUGGAGCCUGCAGCACACCAAGAGACUUGUCAUCCAUCAAUGUACUCCUUAGAAAGUGUAAAUGUGGACAUUAUGGUUGAAUACAAUGGACUACAGUAUUGGUCAUUUAAUGAGACAGACAUUUUUUUAAAAUGAGGUUUUGAAGCUAUAGUUCAAUAAAACAAUAUUAAUAUAAUUGAAACUAUCAAUGCAGUGUAGACUUUGGACAAGAUAAUAUAAUAGUGAUCAUAAAGAAUAAAGACUCGAGGCUUCUACAAAAAUCAAAUACCCAAUAAAUAUUUUGCUCUACCACCAAGACUUUUCCAGAGGUAGAGAAACUGUAGUUUUUUUAAUUAAACUGUAUUUGUAUGGGUUAGAGCACAUUGAAGCUAAUCCUAAGUUGUUUCCUUGGCUCACACAUUACAAAUAGAGUGUCUCUGGGGAGAAAUAUGAUGCUGUACCAUGAGAGAACAUCCUGCCUCUUCAGUAGAUGCAUAAGAUCAUGCCAUCAUUGCACACACCCAUGGGUCAGUUACCCUUUAUGUAAAAGCUCUGCUACAUGGAUCCUGACCCCAAGGAACUUGUAUCUUCUGUUAACUCCACUGGACACACACACACAUAAAUAUGAUAGAAACAUACAAAAAAAUCUGUAGGGAUCCAAGCUCUUAUCUGCCCAUCCCUCUUCAUUCACACACAGUUCUGUGACUUUCACCUCUUUCUGAAUGCAUCUAGCUUAUUUCUUGGCCAUCUUUUCAACCGCUGUCUUUCCUAUUAGUGCUACCCAUCUCCCCUCAGAAGAGGCUUUCUCUCUGACCUCAUUCCAAGAUCAGUUUUCUUUUUCGGGUACUCCGCUAUUCUGGCAUAAUAAAAUAACAGUUGUUCUCAGCAUAAAGUCAUGAGAAGUGAAGAAUGUGAGCAUUCCUUUAAAAACAUAAAAUUUGUCUUAUAACAGCCAGAGUAUAGGUGAAGGCAGUAAGGAUAUAAAUGUCUUUUUUUCUUCUUUUUUUCUCCCAGUAAACUUAGUAUUUCCAAAGUGCCAGGAACAAUGAAAAAACAAAUUACACCUUCCACAUUUUCGUUAUAUUUACAGAUUUUAUUUUAACAGUCUUGCCUUUCUCUUGGUGUUUUCUUUCUUGUAUUUAAACUCCUAUUUCUGUUUUUUAAAUGCUGCUUUCUCUGGGAGAUAAUAUGUGUAAGAAGAGCAUUUACUAUUUGGUAUUAUUUACACCGUUACUACUACUGGUAGAAUAAAUAAUUAUACUCAGAUCAGAAAUCAGCACUACACAGAAAACCCUUAAAAUUGGUGCUUUCAUGUCUGAAAAUUUUCCUCUUCAAAAAUGUAGCCAUCCUUAAAGGGAACUGAGAGGUAACUGUGUAUAAUGUUGUAUAUUUUUGAUUUAUAAAGUAGCCUUGUAUAGUGGAAUAUCUGCAGAGGCCAAGUAAAAGAAGUGAAGGACUAAGACAGGAAUAUCAAGGAUUGUGGUCGGUGGAGAGCUCAACUUGGAAAUCUCCAGAGAGCAAGAAUGCAGCAAGACUAAAUGGUAAUAUCAAUAACUGUUCUUGUUUUGUUUAUUUUUGUUUUCAGAGUAGCUGUGCUAUGUGUUUCCAGAUCUGCUUAUUGUUUGGGUUCAAGCCACCCCAGAGGAUUCCUUGCUAUGAAAAUGCGGCAUUUGAAUGCAAUGGGUUUUCAUGUGAUCUUGGUGAGAAAAAAAUGCAAAUGAAAUAUUCUUUAAUUACUGAUGUACAUUCUAACAGCUGCCAGGAAUCUUGUGGUUGAGACUGGUUACUAGGACUAGAGGAAUUGUCAGCAUUAUUGGAAUGAGUGCUUUAGUUACUGUUUUCUUUGAAAAAGAACAUUGCUAGUACACGAUUUGGGUUCUGCUCAGCUGAUUACUGUCAUUACUAGAGCUUUUACAAAUGUUGUUCUGGUCAGCUUUAAUCCUUUUUUGCUAAGAAGAAGAAUGCAAAUAAUAUAUUUUCAUAUUUAAGAUACACAAAACCAUAUUUAAUUUCCAGGUUAUCUUGAACAAGGGAAGGAAAGAUGUUAAAGCUUUGUUUUCAUGGCCUGUGUGAAGCUGUUACAGGAUGUUUGUUGCCAGAAAAGGCUGGAUGGUUUUAAGAGGAUGGGUCUUUCUCUUCCCUCUUAUGCUUCAAUUUUAUUUUGUACCCCACAGCUUCUCUUGAACAGCCUCUUCUGAUGUUUCUAGGUAGCUGGAACCUUACAAAUACAUUUAUAUAUAUGUUGCUGUUGGAAUCUAUCUAAAUGCCACUCAUUUGGUCCUGCGCAUAAUGUAAGAUGUAAACAUUCCAAGUCUUCUAUUAUUAUACUUUAGUAUUGGAAAUGGAUUACGUGUGGACUAUUGAGAUUAAGAUGACUCCUUUCUCUUAGUGGGCUACUAUUUAAGACUUUGUUUUUUAUAUUGCUGAUUAUAUAUAUUCUAAGGAAGAUUUUCUCAAGAAAGCAGUUUUUGCACCAUUUAGAGGACCUUUAAAAUUUGUAUAAUUUUCACAGUUAAAGCUUUCUUAAACCCUAGCAUGUAGUCUUAUUAUGCCUUUAAAAUAUGAGUAGUUAUAAGGUCACAUUUGCUUUCAAAAAGCUAUUGUCAUCAUGUUACUUUACUAUGUUUGGAUCUCUAAACUAGCUCUUUUGUUAGUAUCGUCUCACAAACUGAUUAUUUUCCUCUUUCUUUGGUAAGGUCAAUAACUGGGAGAUGGACAAACUAGAGAUGGAAGAUGCAGUCACAUUUUUGAAGACUAAAAUCUAUUCAGUAGAAGCUCUUCCUGUUGCUGCUGUAAAUGUGCAAAGCACACAAUAAAGUGAAAAUCAACCUUUUCAUAUUAGGAGACAUGCAUUUGUAAAAAUUAAUAAAGAUGACAAGUCAGUUGUCAAUGGAAUUGAGCUAUCUGCUAAGACAAAAAAUGUUACCUCAGUUCACUAUUAAAAUUAAUUUUAGGAGUGG
rnacentral:sRNA from 1 species